AUGAUGGUGGUACCGGAGACGACCAUGCCAGGAGAAAUGGGAGGUGGUGGCGGUAACGAUGACGAUGACGACGUAUGGAAAGAGGGAGUCAGGAGAGCGAGAGGAGAAAGGGGGUCAUGGAAGUUGUGCGGGAGGGGGGAUGGAUCAAGGCAUAGUGAUUGGGUUGUGCAAUGCUCUACCCCCUCCAGCGGAAAUCUCUUUGGACGGGGCGGCGAAUACGGAGAGUCGCCGCAGAUGGCGGACCGUUUGACCCGUAUCGCGAUCGUGAGCGAGGACAAGUGCAAGCCCAAGAAGUGCCGCCAGGAGUGCAAGAAGAGAUGCCCCGUUGUCAAGACCGGAAAGCUUUGCAUUGAAGUUAGUCCAGCGGCCAAACUUGCAUUCAUUUCUGAAGAGCUGUGUAUUGGUUGUGGUAUUUGUGUUAAGAAAUGCCCAUUUGAUGCCAUUGAAAUCAUCAAUCUUCCAAAAGAUUUGGAGAAAGAUACUACCCAUUGCUAUGGACCGAAUACCUUCAAAUUGCACAGUGGGUAA
rnacentral:rRNA from 1 species